CACGGAGGGUGCAAGCGUUAUCCGGAUUCACUGGGUUUAAAGCGUGCGUAGGUGGUGAGUUAAGUCUGUCGUGAAAGCCCCGGGCUCAACCUGGGAAUGGCGAUGGAUACUGGCUCGCUAGAGUGCGGUAGAGGAGAGUGGAAUUCCCGGUGUAGCAGUGAAAUGCGUAGAGAUCGGGAGGAACAUCAGUUGCGAAGGCGGCUCUCUGGACCAGCACUGACACUGAGGCACGAAAGCGUGGGGAGCAAACAGG
rnacentral:rRNA from 1 species